GAUGAACGCUGGCGGCGUGCCUAAUACAUGCAAGUCGAGCGAACAGACGAGGAGCUUUCUCCUCUGACGUUAGCGGCGGACGGGUGAGUAACACGUGGAUAACCUACCUAUAAGACUGGGAUAACUUCGUGAAACCGGAUCUAAUACCGGAUAAUAUAUUGAACCGCAUGGUUCAAUAGUGAAAGACGGUUUUGCUUUCACUUAUAGAUGGAUCCGCGCCGCAUUAGCUAGUUGGUAAGGUAACGGCUUACCAAGGCGACGAUGCGUAGCCGACCUGAGAGGGUGAUCGGCCACCCUGGAACUGAGACACGGUCCAGACUCCUACGGGAGGCAGCAGUAGGGAAUCUUCCGCAAUGGGCGAAAGCCUGACGGAGCAACGCCGCGUGAGUGAUGAAGGUCUUCGGAUCGUAAAACUCUGUUAUUAGGGAAGAACAAAUGUGUAAGUAACUAUGCACGUCUUGACGGUACCUAAUCAGAAAGCCACGGCUAACUACGUG
rnacentral:rRNA from 1 species